rnacentral:rRNA from 1 species
GAAAGGCAUCACGAGGGUUAUACUGUCUCCUUUUUCUAAUUAGUGAAACUAAUCUCCCCGUGAAGAAGCGGGGAUCUUUAUAUAAGACGAGAAGACCCUAUGGAGCUUUAAAUAAUAUAACAAUUGCUACUUUAUCUCUAUUAACUUUAUAUCAUCUAGCAAUAUGAUUAUUAAUUUUUGGUUGGGGUGACCGCGGAGCAUAACAUAACCUCCAUAUUGAAAGGAUAAUUCUCCUAAGCUAAAAGCAACAACUUUAUGCAUCAAUAAAUUGACAUCAAUUGACCCAAUAUAUUUGAUCAACGAACCAAGUUACCCUAGGGAUAACAGCGCAAUCUACUUUAAGAGCCCAUAUCGACAAGUAG